UUUUGUUGUCUGAUUGCUCUGGCUAGAACUUCAAGAACUAUAUUGAAUAAGUAGAGAGAGAGUGGGCAGCCUUGUCUAGUCCCUGAUUUUAGUGGGAUUGCUUUGUUUCUACUUGGUUGAUUUCAGCUCUGAGUUUGUUUAUUUCCUGCCUUCUACUACUCCUGGGUGUAUUUGGUUCAUUUUGUUCUAGAGCUUUUAGGUGUGCUGUCAAGCUGCUGAUAUAUGCUCUCUCCUGUUUCUUUCCGCAGGCAGUCAGAGCUAUGAGUUUUCCUCUUCGCACAGUUUUCAUUGUGUCCCAUAAGUUAGGAGAGAAAUAUGUUACUUUCAACUGUAUCCUGAUUAUUAUGAGCAAAAUAUGAAUGCAGUAAGAUUCAAUUGUUAUACUGAAUGAGACUCUGAGCCUGACUGGACUGUUACCCACCACUUGCAGACGUUGAUUAUAGUUCUGGAACUCUAAUAUGGAAUCACCCUUCAGUCUGGAUGCCAGAGUCACAGAGACAUGCAGUCCAGUUAUGUACACCUGAACAAUUGUCUUCCUUUUACUUUUCACACACUUCUUUUAAAUGAACCAUUGUAAGCCUCCCAUGAAAAACCUAUGCUUUGCUCAAUAAAGGUACUCCCAAUCCUCUUG
rnacentral:lncRNA from 1 species